CAGGAAAUAUUCUACGAAGAGACAAAGAAGGAAAUCUAUAUUGACACAGAUGUAGACAUGAUAAAACAAAUAAUCGCCGAUGUCAAACAUCCCAAGAAGCAGUUUACAUUGGAACAAAUGUAAAAAUACUGAGAUACACAAUACUACGUAAUCGUAAGGUAGAUUUCAAAAACAAAAUCAAUAAAAAUGUUUGGAAUUUCUAGAGAAUUCUGAAUAGCAGAAGCCUCUCAAUAAAAAAUAAAAAUGGAACGUCUUAGACCUUAAACUAAGACCAAUGUAAUCGAGUCUGUAGUCAAACAUUUUCCAUUAAAUAUUAUAAUUGUUCGUGUUACAAUCUUGAAUUUUUUGUUUCUUGAUUUUAUGAAACCAAAAUGAAUCUCACUUUUGGAGUUGUUGCUUUUUCUUUUGAAACAAUGCAGGAAAAAAAUAUGUUUGUGUGUAAGUCUGUGUGUACAAUCGAAUCUCUAAUAACUAAUAACAUAUAUCAUACUACCUGAAGGCCCCCC
rnacentral:sRNA from 1 species